AUUGAACGCUGGCGGUAGGCCUAACACAUGCAAGUCGAGCGGCUGCAGAGUACUUGCUUCUGGUUUCAGGGGCCGAGGGGCGGGCAGUGCAUAGGAAUAUGGGUGGCAGUGGGGGAUAACGUGAGGACGUGGGCGAUCAUACGGCAAAAGUCCAGAGGAAGUACGUGGGAAAUCAUCGGACCUCACGACCUCAGACGAGCGUAGGAGGCGAUGUCGGAUUAGCUAGUUGGAGGGGUAAAGGCCCACCAAGGCGACGAUCCGUAGCUGGUCUGAGAGGAUGAUCAGCCACACUGGAACUGAGACACGGUCCAGACUCCUACGGGAGGCAGCAGUGGGGAAUAUUGGACAAUGGGCGAAAGCCUGAUCCAGCCAUGCCGCGUGGGUGAAGAAGGUCUUCGGGUUGUAAAGCCCUUUUGUUUGGAAGGAAAAGCAGUAAGUUAAUACCUUGCUGUUUUGACGUUACCAAAAGAAUAAGCACCGGCUAACUUCGUG
rnacentral:rRNA from 1 species